GAUGUACAGAAGUGCUUAAGUCUCUAUCAUUGGAUACAUUAACUCUGGUUCACUAGGUUACACACUUAAGAUACCAUGAGUCUAAAACAGAGGUGUUGAACUCAAUUGCACAGGGAGGCAAAACUCAAAGCACGCUUUAGGUUGCGGGCCGAACAGGAUAAACAUUUAUUGAACACGCUAAAACUAAAUGUUUUUUAACAUAAAUAUGAAUAAAAACAGACAGCCAUAUUAUUCCAGAAUACAUAAAAGUAUACUUUAUAUAACUUAAAAUACUCCAUCAAAAUAUCCCUUGUCAAAAUUAUACAAGUUACAACUAUGAACAUGCUGCAAAAAAAUUAUACUUUUCCGCAAAAAUACAAAUAACAAAUCAAAACGUAUUUUUUGCUCUUAUGCUAUUUUCUCAGAGCUGGAUGCUUGGCAUCUUUUCUUGGCAACAAGUUGGUUUAGGUUUGGUGUAAGGUUCUGUGUUGUGGAGAUUUUCAGGAUGGACUGCAGGUGUUCAUCACUGAGACGACUCCUGUGUGCUGUUUUGUUAAUCUUCAUCACUGAGAACAGCCUCUCACACAGAUACUGUAUAUGCUACCAAACAUGCACAAGGUGCACAAGCAAGCACAAUGCCUUCUUAGAUUAAAUUCCUUAAUUACAGCUACAUUAGCUCCACAAAUAAGACACACGGGUUUACCACAAAGUCACUAAACAUAUACUCAGCCUACAACUAUACAACUUUGCCUUUCGCCAUUGUUAGAGGCUAGCUUUGACUUUACAGCAACAGACGCUUGUCUUGAUUGAUGCGGGAAUGUUCCCAGGUAACCUAUUGUUCUGCAAGGCAGCUGUUGCACUGCAUUAUGGGAUCUGUAGUUUGUGUGUUAUCAGCGAAUAGAUCUAUAUAAAAUGAUCUCGCGGGCCGGAUAUAAUUGUACGCCGGGCCGGAUGUGGCCCACAGGCCUCGAGUUUGGCACCUAUAGUCUAAAACAUUGUUUAUGUACAGUGCAAUUUAGACAAAAGACACUAACCCCACUUGCUUAUGUUUUGAAAAGCAAUUACACAGUACACUACUUUCAGUUGUUGAUUGCUGAGGAUUAAUCCUUUCAGUUUCCUCAUCAGGAGGUGAAAUGCACGUUCCAUUGGUUUACAGUCUGGCGAUUGUUUAUCAGUUGGCAGUGUGUUUUGGGUCAUUGUCUUGUUGCAUGAUGAAGCUCCUGCCAAGUAGAUUGCAUGCAUUUCUUUGUAAACUGGCAGACAAAAUGUUUCUGUAGACUUUAGAAUUCUGUUUUUUUAUUCUUUUCAACAAAAAAUGCAGACUUCACAGGCAAAACCCAGGACUCAAAUCAAGAGUCAACAUUCAUAGCUAUUUAAUUUUGCACCUGGUCAACAAGAAACCCAUACAAGUGCCAUGUUUCAAGUUGCUUAACACGUAGCAAAUAUUCUGAUAUUUAUUGUACGAAAAAAACAAUAUAAUCAAAAAAUUUUGUGGUUCUAAUACUUUUGAAUGUGAUUGUGUUUGAACCUGACCAAUCAGAUCAGAUUCAUUUGUAUUUUGUCAAUUUACUCUAAAUACAAUGCUUUAAAAUAUUUUUAAUGAAAUGUAUAGAACAUAUCAACAUCUAUAUAUUUUAAAUUAGUUUGCAUAAAAUAAGUCAAGAAUAGUGCAGGGUAUUAUGCAAGAAAUGUUUUUUGUACAAAUGCUUUUAUUUUAAAAAUCCUAAAUAGAAAAUGAAACUAUAAUUCACAGAACAAACAUUGGCAGUGCAGCAGCCACAUCUGCAGGAUUCUCUAAACCCCACUUUCCAUCACCAAAGAGUGCACCAAAAUCCUAUAUAUCAGGAUUCCACUUAGCAGAUGAUUACACCAACACUGGAGAUUUCAAAAUGCGUCGAAAAAUGUAAUGAUGACAGAAGACAGAGUCUUCUACUUCUACUAUGCAAAAGUGCUGUUACUGCUGUUUAGUUUUUUGUUUGUUUGUUUUUGUUUUUUUUUUCAAUAAGGCUUGGCUAAUUUGAAUCUUACUUAUGCUGCUUGUGUAGAAUAGUCAAAAAAACAUAGAAGUAGUUACUAUAACACAUAACAGGUGUUUUGUAAUGCCAGAUAAAAUAGUGAGGAAAAGCAACUUGGAUACUGAGAAUACUGUAAACAUUUUUGUUCUUCGACAUUAAGAAUGUAAUUUCAUUUUCUGAUAUAUGUAUAUAUGUAUAUGCUGGCAAUAUGAUUCAUAGACACCAUUUUUAUAACACAUUGUAUCUGACAAAUUCUUUAUGUAUUAUGUUAUGGGCAUGUGGAAUGAGAAUAAAGACUGGAACAUUUGUUGGUGGCUAAUAUAAUCCUUCACUCAUUGCAAAAAAUACAUAGUAUUAUGAUAAACUAGAUAUAGAUUGUUGAUAUUUUUUUUAUGAUAAUAUUGCAACAGUUCUAACCAUGCACAAAUUACCACCACAUCUAUGUCAAACAUUUAGAUAUUUGCAGUGCAUAUGCAAGAGUCAUGGUAAUAGUUCAUACCGGAAGAUUAGUCACAAACAGGAAACCAGGGAGGGGGAAGGGGGGUGUUAGGAAAGUUGUACAUACACACACGGAAAUAUUAUUUUCUUUUAUUAGAAAAUUUGUUCCGCACAAAUGUCUGCACAAAGAUAAACAUAAACAGCACUCAUUAUAAAAUACUCAUUAUAACAACCAAAAUCUAAAAAUCUAAAUGUAAGGGGUAAAAGAAAAUAUACCCUUCUUUAAUUCUAUGAUUGUUUUCCACUGUCUAAAUAAUAAACAUGUGAUCCUCUCUGUCUUCUAUAUAAACAAAACAAUAUACUUAGAUGACUACAAAAAACAAUAUAUUUCAGUAUGUAGUCAUUUUAUACAAUCCAAAAGAUUUAGAAAAAAUAAGUACACCUUUCCUACUACCAACAUUUUGGCCAUGUCAAAAUGUAAGUCCAGACCUUAAACUUCUGUGGAAAGCUGUUAAGAGAGCUUUGCAUAAAUGUAUGCUUUUAAACAUCAAAGUUCUGAAGCAAUGUGUGGGCCAAAAAUCCUCAAACCAAUUGCAAAGAAUACUUCAAAUUAUUGCUUCUAAAAGUCGUUCUACAUACUAGUAAUAAUCUUUACAAAUAUUUUUGUUAACAUUAUAAAAACUAAAAACAUAGAAUGUUAGGAGGUUGUACUUUCCUUUUCCCCCAAAAAUAUUGAACCUUAUUUGCACACAUUUUGAUAAGAAACUAAAUUAAAUUACAUUAAAAACUUUCGUAGAUUUAUAACAUACAAUGAUGUAAAAUAAAGAAAUUUACAACACAGUUUGAGCAAAAAAAUGUCCAUUUUAAUUAUCAACAAAAACCACCAAUGUAAAUGUUCUCAAAUAUUUUAAUUGUCAUUAUUUAAUUUCAAACUGAACAUUCACUGAGUGGAAAUCACAAUUAGUAAGCAAGGUUUUAAACAUCUUUACCUAAACUGCUUUUAACCCCACAUUUGAAAAACUAGCGCUUAACACAACAUGGCAAUGUUAGAAAAGUUUUCGUCAUUUUGUUAACAUCUCAAAAAAAAUGUAUAUUUAACAUUCAGUUAAAUUA